CCUGGGCGUGGUGGCGCAUACCUGUAGUCCUAGCUACUCCGGAGGCUGAGGUGGGAGGAUCGCUUGAGCCCAGGAGUUCUGGGCUGUAGUGCGCUAUGCCAGUCGAGUGUCUGCAAUAAGUUUGACAUCAAUAUGGUGACCUCCUGGGAAUGCGGGACCACCAGGUUUCCUAAGGAAGGGUGAACCGGCCCAGGUCGGAAAUGGAGCAGGUCAAAACUCCCAUGCUGAUCAGUAGUGGGAUGGUGCCUGUGAAUAGCCACUGCACACCAGCCUGGGCAACAUAGUGAGACCCCNNNNNN
rnacentral:SRP_RNA from 1 species